AGGUCAAAAUUUGAAUAACAUCCCUUACACUGAAACCGAAACGUGCUCACAAAAUAUAAAAGAUUAAACUAACUAAAAGAGAAACUCGAAAAUAAAACUAUAAGUAUGACUACAGAGUCUCUAGGCAUUCCCUUCGUCGUCCUCCUGCGGAACGGGCUCGGGAACCAUGUCUUCCUGAUCUGAAAUGGUUAAAUAAGGAGUGAGCUACACUAGCCCAGUAAGAACAUCACGAUAUCUCACCGUCACGGAGGUAAAGGUGGGUAGAAAAACACAAAAGACCAAUGGAGCAUGAUUUACAACAAAUCC
rnacentral:lncRNA from 1 species